rnacentral:rRNA from 1 species
UACGGAGGGUGCAAGCGUUAUCCGGAUUCACUGGGUUUAAAGGGUGCGUAGGCGGGUUGGUAAGUCCGUGGUGAAAUCUCCGAGCUUAACUCGGAAACUGCCGUGGAUACUAUCAAUCUUGAAUAUCGUGGAGGUAAGCGGAAUAUGUCAUGUAGCGGUGAAAUGCUUAGAGAUGACAUAGAACACCAAUUGCGUAGGCAGCUUACUACACGGUCAUUGACGCUGAGGCACGAAAGCGUGGGGAGCAAACAGG